rnacentral:rRNA from 1 species
UACGUAGGGACCGAGCGUUGUCCGGAUUCAUUGGGCGUAAAGAGCGCGCAGGCGGUCGUUCAAGUCGCGUGUGAAAGCCCCCGGCUCAACUGGGGAGGGUCACGCGAUACUGAUCGACUCGAAGGCAGGAGAGGGAAGUGGAAUUCCCGGUGUAGUGGUGAAAUGCGUAGAUAUCGGGAGGAACACCAGUGGCGAAGGCGACUUCCUGGCCUGUUCUUGACGCUGAGGCGCGAAAGCUAGGGGAGCAAACGGG